UAAUACAGAGGGUGCGAGCGUUAAUCGGAUUUACUGGGCGUAAAGCGUGCGUAGGCGGCUUCUUAAGUCGGAUGUGAAAUCCCUGAGCUUAACUUAGGAAUUGCAUUCGAUACUGGGAAGCUAGAGUAUGGGAGAGGAUGGUAGAAUUCCAGGUGUAGCGGUGAAAUGCGUAGAGAUCCGGAGGAAUACCGAUGGCGAAGGCGGCCAUCUGGCCUAAUACUGACGCUGAGGUACGAAAGCAGGGGGAGCAAACG
rnacentral:rRNA from 1 species